rnacentral:rRNA from 1 species
ACGACGGGUAGCCGGCCUGAGAGGGCGACCGGCCACACUGGGACUGAGACACGGCCCAGACUCCUACGGGAGGCAGCAGUGGGAAUAUUGCACAAUGGGCGGAAGCCUGAUGCAGCGACGCCGCGUGAGGGAUGACGGCCUUCGGGUUGUAAACCUCUUUCAGCAGGGACGAAGCGAAAGUGACGGUAUCUGCAGAAGAAGCGCCGGCCAACUACGUGCCAGCAGCCGCGGUAAGACGUAGGGCGCGAGCGUUGUCCGGAUUUAUUGGGCGCAAAGAGCUCGUAGGCGGCUUGUCGCGUCGACUGUGAAAACCCACAGCUCAACUGUGGGCUUGCAGCCGAUACGGGCAGGCUAGAAUUCGGUAGGGGAGACUGGAAUUCCUGGUGUAGCGGUGAAAUGCGCAGAUAUCAGGAGGAACACCGGUGGCGAAGGCGGGUCUCUGGGCCGAUAUUGACGCUGAGGAGCGAAAGCGUGGGGAGCGAACAGGAUUAGAUACCCUGGUAGUCCACGCUGUAAACGUUGGGCGCUAGGUGUGGGGGACCUCUCCGGUUCUCUGUGCCGCAGCUGACGCAUUAAGCGCCCCGCCUGGGGAGUACGGCCGCAAGGCUAAAACUCAAAGGAAUUGACGGGGGCCCGCACAAGCGGCGGAGCAUGCGGAUUAAUUCGAUGCAACGCGAAGAACCUUACCUGGGUUUGACAUGGCCGCAAAACCUACAGAGAUGUAGGGUCCUUCGGGGGCGGUCACAGGUGGUGCAUGGCAGUCGUCAGCUCGUGUCGUGAGAUGUUGGGUUAAGUCCCGCAACGAGCGCAACCCUUAUUCGAUGUUGCCAGCGCGUUAUGGCGGGGACUCAUCGAAGACUGCCGGGGUCAACUCGGAGGAAGGUGGGGAUGACGUCAAGUCAUCAUGCCCCUUAUGUCCAGGGCUUCACGCAUGCUACAAUGGCCGGUACAAUGGGCUGCGAUACCGCGAGGUGGAGCGAAUCCCAAAAAGCCGGUCUCAGUUCGGAUCGGGGUCUGCAACUCGACCCCGUGAAGUCGGAGUCGCUAGUAAUCGCAGGUCAGCAACGCUGCGGUGAAUACGUUCCCGGGCCUUGUACACACCGCCCGUCACGUCACGAAAGUCGGCAACACCCGAAGCCCAUGGCCUAACCGGUUUUCCGGAGGGAGUGGUCGAAGGUGGGGCUGGCGAUUGGGACGAAGUCGAAACAAGGUAGCCGUACCGAAGGUGCGGCUG